GUAGAAUAAGUAGUUAUUUGCUGAUUUGUAGAUACUUAGUUUAUAGUGUAAAUAGGGAUAGAUGACUGUUAGAAAGGUAGUUCAGUAGUUAAAAUGGAUGAAUAGUUAGGAAAAGCAGUUUUCAUUAGAGAUGUAGCAGUUGGUAUCUUCUGGUAGGAUAAGGAGGAUGAGAGAGAGGAAGAAACCGCCAUUACUGUGAGAGUCGUGAGCCGGGGUAAGCUUGGUGCUACCUCUUUUCUUUAGUUGUUAUGUUCUUUGAAAUAAGAGUAUUAAGAGUUUCUGAAUAUUGUGAAGUGAAUCAUGGAAUGAAAGUGUGAAUGGAAUUAUAUGUUAUUGAAUGAGAAGAAGAGAGAUUGAAUGCUGAAAUCUGAAUGUAGUUCAGCAGAAAGAGUGAAUCUGUGGUUGUGUGAAACACUGUAAUGUGAAUGGUAGUUCUGUGUGAAGAAUUCCAGUAAUUGGAAUGAGGGUAAUUGUGUGCUGAAGCUGUGAUGUUGAGGUAUUACAGUUGGAGAUUGUAAGAGUGAAGAUAUAUUGGUGGAAAUAACAGUUAUUGGUAUGACUGAAUUGUUGUAAGGAAGAGAGUGAUAAGGUGAAAGGAGAGAUUAUC
rnacentral:lncRNA from 1 species